UACGGAGGGUGCGAGCGUUAAUCGGAAUCACUGGGUGUAAAGGGAGCGUAGACGGCUUUUCAAGUCAGGGGUGAAAUCCCACGGCCCAACCGUGGAACUGCCUUUGAAACUGUAGAGCUUGAGUGUCGGAGAGGGUGGCGGAAUUCCAGGUGUAGGAGUGAAAUCCGUAGAUAUCUGGAGGAACACCGGUGGCGAAGGCGGCCACCUGGACGACAACUGACGCUGAGGUGCGAAAGCGUGGGUAGCAAACAGG
rnacentral:rRNA from 1 species